GCUCCAAGGUCCCUCUGCCCUGUUGGAGAGAGGACUCUGGAUCCUGUCUUAGGGGAAGGGAGGUUCGGCAAUAGUGCGGCUCCCAGGGAAGCAGAGGACAGCCACUGUUGGUCCAGUUUUCAACUGGGGAAAGUCACCAGCUCAGACGCCUCGCACUGGACACAGGAGGUUGACGGGCUGCCUUGGGAGCUGGGGAGGCAUGCUGGCCCAUCUGAGCAGGGCUCCCACUUACCUCCAGCACACGGCCACCACGUGCAGCCACCUGCACGGUGUGACCGUCCGUUCUGACUGUCCAGGCUUUCCUGUGGACUCUUCUGUUUCUCUAAAGUUGGCCGAAACAGAAGUUGAGAAAGCAGCAGCCGCAGCCCCCAGUUUGCCACCUACACUUCCGUCUUUCUUGUCGCCUCAGGGUGGAGCAGGUUCCGUGAUCCUGCUGUCACCAUGGAGGAGGUCCUGCAUCCGAGAGUCUGUUGUGUGUCCGCUUUGCACCAGGCCCUGUUGGGGCUGCAGAGGACACAGCAAGAAACAGACUAGAUAAGCAUCUUCACUUCCUGGAGUCUACAUUCUAGCUGGGGAGACGGGGGCCAAUCUUAUAAAUAAAUACUAUACAAGUUGGACUGUGA